rnacentral:lncRNA from 1 species
UAAGAUGAGGGACUUGAGCAAGAUCAAAUAUUACUGGUGUGAUAAAUUGGGGCAUCUAACCAGAGAUUGCUCUCAACUCAGGGAUUGAAUAAAGGCUAUUGCAGCGACGGUCAGUAACAAUUCAAAGGAUGAUGCCCUGGAGAUAUCUGAUGAGGUAUCUACUUCUUUCCAGCAGUGAAUUUUAGAUUCUGCAUGCACCUAUUAUGUAUGUUGCAGAGAGGAGCAGUUUAACUCCCUGGAGGGCA